rnacentral:lncRNA from 1 species
UUCCUGCGGCUUUUGGUCCCUCCCGCUUGCAGUCCCUCUGGUUCUGCCCACUCCGCCUCCCGGUUGUCAGGGCAACCGUAGCGACGCCGGACCUGGCUGAGAGGCGUUAGGAGCCCCGGCGUUCGCCCGCGGAGGCCGGGGAGCAGCCGACCAUGGAGCCCCAGAGAGCUUGGUCAAUGUGUUCUGGACAAAGCAGGAAGAUGUGACUGAAAUCCUGAAAGGAGCCGGCUCCUGCAGCACAAGAAUAAUGAUACAUCUGGGUACAUUUCUCUUCACAGCAUUUGAUAGUGGCUCCAAAGUGCUUACAAAAUGCACAUCGCUGAAAGGGGUAAAGGAGAGAAAUCUCUUUAUAAAACCUUGAAAAGGAAUAUUCAAAUAUAAACUGGGAAGGUAUAAAAAACUCUCUGUACAUCACAAGUAAACAAAUUGAACCUGCAAAAUAUUAAACAAAGGAUUCGUUAAAAAUAAUAAAAUCUACAUUACUCAA